CCUACGGUGGGCUGCAGUAGGGAAUCUUCCACAAUGGACGAAAGUCUGAUGGAGCAACGCCGCGUGAGUGAAGAAGGGUUUCGGCUCGUAAAGCUCUUUUGGGAGUGAAGAAAGAUAGAGGUAGUAACUUGCCUUUAUUUCACGGUAAUUACUUAGAAAGUCACGGCUAACUACGUGCCAGCAGCCGCGGUAAUACGUAGGUGGCAAGCGUUGUCCGGAUUUAUUGGGCGUAAAGCGAGUGCAGGCUGUUCAAUAAGUUUGAUGUGAAAGCCUUCGGCUCAACCGGAGAAUUGAAUCAGAAACUGUUGACCUUGAGUGCAGAAGAGGAGAGUGGAACUCCAUGUGUAGCGGUGGAAUGCGUAGAUAUAUGGAAGAACACCAGUGGCGAAGGCGGAUGUCUGGUCUGCAACUGACGCUGAGGCUCGAAAGCAUGGGUAGCGAACAGGAUUAGAUACCCCUGCAGUC
rnacentral:rRNA from 1 species